GCACCUGUAGCUCAGCUGGAUAGAGCGCUGCCCUCCGAAGGCAGAGGUCACAGGUUCGAAUCCUGUCAGGUGCGCCA
rnacentral:tRNA from 2 species